GACAACGUGGCCGAGUGGUUAAGGCGGUGCCCUGCUAAGGCAUUGUGUUCUGCACGCGCAGGUUCGAAUCCUGCCGUUGUCG